rnacentral:lncRNA from 1 species
GGUCACAGACGAACCUGAGGGAAUCGGGGAUCUGCGCUCACAAGUUGCCAUCUACCUGGGCAUCAAACGGAAGCCCCCCCCCGGCUGCCCCGAUGUGCCCGGCGUGUGACGUGGAGGGGGACGCGACCCCAUCCCCCCCCCAGGCGCUGCUGACCUCUCUGAGCUGGGACCCCCCCCCUCCCCCAAACCCCCCCAUUCCCCCCCCCACACCCCCCAAACCCCCCCCCCCCCCCCAGCCGGCUGCCAGUCGCGCCCACCUCGGCCCCUCCUGUUGGGACCCCCACCCUGGGGGCGCCGUGGGGCUGGGAGCACCGCCUUGGGGACGUGGUGACAGCGGGACAUCCCCCCCCAUCCCCCCCUCCCCACCCCCCGACCCCCCCCCCACCACCACCCCACCUCUCAUUUUGAGGACGUGGUGACUUUGGGCCCCCGGCUUUGGGGUUGGGACCCCCAAUCCUGGGGUCACCGUGGGGUUGGGACCCCCGGCCUGGAGUUGGGACCCCCACCGUGGGGACACCAUAGGACUGAGACCCCCCCACCUUGGGGACGUGGGGACAUUGGGACCCCCGUCUUGGAGUUGGGACCCCCAUCCUGAGGACGUGGUGACUUUGGGACCCCAAGCCGGGAGUUGGGGACCCCCUCCCCUCCCCCCCCUCCCCCCCUUGGGGACACGGUGACACCGAGACCCCCCCAUCCUGGAGCUGAGACCCCCAUCUUGGGGACAUGGUGACACCGAGACCCCCAUUACGGAGUCGGGACCCCCACCGGGGGGACACCGUGGGACUGAGACCCCCAUCUUGGGGACAUGGUGACACCGAGACCCCCAUCCUGGAGCUGAGACCCCCAUCUUGGGGACACGGUGACAUUGAGACCCCCCUUACGGAGUCGGGACCCACAUCCUGGGGACACAGUGGGACUGAGACCCCCAUCUUGGGGACACCAUAGGACCGGGACCCCCACUUUGGGGUCAUGGUGACACUGAGACCCCCACCCUGAAGUUGGGACCCCCACUUUGGGGACACCAUAGGACCGGGACCCCCACUUAGGGGUCGUGGUGACACUGAGACCCCAAUCCUGGGGACACCAUGGAGCUGAGACCCCCACUUUGGGGUCAUGGUGACACCGAGACCCCCAUCCUGGAGCUGAGACCCCCACUUUGGGGUCGUGGUGACACUGAGACCCCCAUUAUGGAGUUGGGACCCCCACUUUGGGGUCGCGGUGACACUGAGACCCCCAUCCUGGAGCUGAGACCCCCACUUUGGGGUCAUGGCGACACUGAGACCCC